CUUAAGAGUAAAAAGUUUCAUCACUCAUUGAACUUUGCCUUCGGUCAUGUUGUAGUCACUGAACUUUGAUAUGCUUAUGGCCGCUCACUGAACUUACAUGAAGUGACCUCCGUCCAUCACUCAGCAAACAGCUACUGGAAGGGUGUCUGACGUGGCAAGACGGUAGUCUAUGUGGCACGUUAGCAACAUCUCCUCUAAAUGAAAACACGACUCCAUGGCUGGAGAAAUCACGACUUUCACCAAAUGAAAAUGAAAACACCACCACUUGAAAUGAAAAGCCCUAAUUCUAUCUCAGAAAUUGAAAUCCCCAAAUCCCUCGCCCAAACUCGGUAAUGAAGAAGAACCCUAGAAUUCGAUUCCCCUAAAUUCGAUUUCGAAAAGCCUGAAUUCCAGUCCCAAAUCGCGAUUUCAGUAAGUGAUGAAGCUUUUUACUCAUUGAAAAGCCAUAAUUCCAGUCCCAAAUUGCGACCAAAGGAGAACAAUUUUCAGCGAAUUGAACUCGAUUUUCAACGAUUUCCAGUCCCAAUUGAACCCAAUUUUCAGCGACUUGAACCGAGACGCAUCCUCGUCUUCGUCUUCCUGGCAACACCAAAUUGAUUUUGCUCACAAACCCACGGUUCGAUAGCCGACAUUUUUCAAAACGAGAAAGAGGUAACAGGGGCAUAUGUGAAUUUGAUACCUGGUUUGAGAUUUGCCUAAAUAUGAAUUUGUUGCCUGCUUUGAGAUUUGCUAGCAAUAGUCUUUGGCUUGGCCUGCGGUUACUGUGAACUGCUUCCAUUAUGUUAACAUACAUGAUUUCUUCACCUUUAUUGUUAUUCAAUUAUUCGAAAUUGCACAAUUGAAAAUGAAGUCUUGUUGUAGGAAGCUACUUACUGCAUAGAGGAUGUUGAAAAUGAAGUCUCUUAUUCUACUUGCUGCUACUCAGUGCAAACUGGUAGUCUUAGUUUUGCUAAUCAUGUUGUUCACCUUUCCCCUCUUUGAAGUUGAAUGGCAGGGACAAAUAGGGGCAUAUGCGUCUCAAGUCAGGAGUUCUUAAGUAAAAUUGUUUCAUCAUUAAUUUUUUAGAAGUCUUGUGUUACUAAUCCUUCUAUUUGUGUUUUGCCAUAAUCCUUUAUGUGAAUUACCAUAGUCGAUUCCAUCUGUUUGAGCAUAUUUUAAGUGGUCAUGAUAUUGGUGAUUGCAGAUCUGGUGCCCAAUUGCUUGUGCUUUUCAUGUAGAAGGAAAAUUGAGCAAGUCUGGUUGAUGAAUUAUUUCUCUGAGAUGGAGUGGAAUACGAGGUGGGACUGGUAGAACUUUGUUAUGUUCGGCUCCAAAGCGAUUGAUAGCUUCAAGAAGGUACCAUCAGCAGAGUGGAUGAGUAUGGAUGAUGGGGAAAUUUCGUUCAAUUUGUCUGGUGGAGGUGGGAAUAGUGGUGGUUCUGGUUCAGAAGUUGGGCAUGGUUCUAUUGCUAAGAGCUCAAUACCAGCUUCUUUAGAUUCUUUACUAAAGGAUGGGAUGAAAACUCCCAAUUUCAAUUUUGAGGCAUUUGAGGGCUCUGCCGAAGAUUUUAGCAAGAAAAUUGAAAGCAACAGAAAUCAGACUUCAAUACAUUUAUUCGUAGUAUUUUGCUUCAUUUCUAGCCGUGCUUGUUUCGGCUUAGUAUUUUGCUUCGAUUUUAUGUACCUUUAUUUGUAAUGACGUUCACACUAAUUCAGUUAUUGAUGCAAGAUCUUAUUUACUUGUUCGAGUUUGCUGUCCUAUUUAAUGGCAAUUCACUUUUUGGAUGCUUACAACAUUACCAAAA
rnacentral:lncRNA from 1 species